AGAGUUUGAUCCUGGCUCAGGACGAACGCCGGCGGCGUGCUUAACACAUGCAAGUCGAACGAUGAACCACCUUCGGGUGGGGAUUAGUGGCGAACGGGUGAGUAACACGUGGGCAAUCUGCCCUGCACUCUGGGACAAGCCCUGGAAACGGGGUCUAAUACCGGAUACUGACCCGCCAAGGCAUCUUGGCGGGUCGAAAGCUCCGGCGGUGCAGGAUGAGCCCGCGGCCUAUCAGCUUGUUGGUGAGGUAAUGGCUCACCAAGGCGACGACGGGUAGCCGGCCUGAGAGGGCGACCGGCCACACUGGGACUGAGACACGGCCCAGACUCCUACGGGAGGCAGCAGUGGGGAAUAUUGCACAAUGGGCGAAAGCCUGAUGCAGCGACGCCGCGUGAGGGAUGACGGCCUUCGGGUUGUAAACCUCUUUCAGCAGGGAAGAAGCGAAAGUGACGGUACCUGCAGAAGAAGCGCCGGCUAACUACGUGCCAGCAGCCGCGGUAAUACGUAGGGCGCAAGCGUUGUCCGGAAUUAUUGGGCGUAAAGAGCUCGUAGGCGGCUUGUCGCGUCGGUUGUGAAAGCCCGGGGCUUAACCCCGGGUCUGCAGUCGAUACGGGCAGGCUAGAGUUCGGUAGGGGAGAUCGGAAUUCCUGGUGUAGCGGUGAGAUGCGCAGAUAUCAGGAGGAACACCGGUGGCGAAGGCGGAUCUCUGGGCCGAUACUGACGCUGAGGAGCGAAAGCGUGGGGAGCGAACAGGAUUAGAUACCCUGGUAGUCCACGCCGUAAACGGUGGGCACUAGGUGUGGGCAACAUUCCACGUUGUCCGUGCCGCAGCUAACGCAUUAUGUGCCCCGCCU
rnacentral:rRNA from 1 species